rnacentral:lncRNA from 1 species
CCGCCCUCUCCCAGACCGCCCUCGCUCACCUGGUCUUGGCCUCCGGCGAACAAAGGGCCUCGGUUACGGAGCAGAGUCUAAGCGCCCAGCUCAAUCUGAGAACUACAAUUCCCAGAAUCCACGUCAGGCACGCGGGAGGAGGAGUCGCUCCAAACGCAGGCGCACGUGAGCCUGAAGCCCGAGGCCUUUUGGGAAGUGGAGCCCAAGGCCUAUGAAAACUGAGCAGAAUCCCAGGACAAUGCCAGGAAAUUGAAGCACUUUCAUUUGAAUUGUCUUAGGAAGAUUCUGAAGAUCACCUGGCAGGAGAAGGGACCAGACCCUGAGGUCCUUCUUGAAGCCCAACCUGCUGAGCAUUUCAAAUGUACUGCAGAGAGCACAAGUCCAUUGGGCUGGCCAAGUGAUUUGCAUGCUAAAUGUACUCUUGCCC